rnacentral:rRNA from 1 species
GACGGGGCCCGCACAAGCGGUGGAUUAUGUGGAUUAAUUCGAUGCAACGCGAAAACCUUACCUACCCUUGACAUGCUAGGAACUUGCCAGAGAUGGCUUGGUGCCCGAAAGGGAACCUAGGCACAGGUGCUGCAUGGCUGUCGUCAGCUCGUGUCGUGAGAUGUUGGGUUAAGUCCCGCGACGAGCGCAACCCUUGUCAUUAAUUGCCAUCAUUCAGUUGGGCACUUUAAUGAGACUGCCGGUGACAAACCGGAGGAAGGUGGGGAUGACGUCAAGUCCUCAUGGCCCUUACAUCCCGGGCUACACACGUGCUACAAUGGCAGGUACAGAGGGCUGCGAAGCCGCGAGGUGGAGCGAAUCCCAGAAAACCUGUCUCAGUCCGGAUUGAAGUCUGCAACUCGACUUCAUGAAGGCGGAAUCGCUAGUAACCGCGAAUCAGCAGGUCGCGGUGAAUACGUUCCCGGGCCUU